rnacentral:rRNA from 1 species
AGCUUGCUACCUGACCUAGCGGCGGACGGGUGAGUAAUGCUUAGGAAUCUGCCUAUUAGUGGGGGACAACAUUCCGAAAGGAAUGCUAAUACCGCAUACGCCCUACGGGGGAAAGCAGGGGAUCUUCGGACCUUGCGCUAAUAGAUGAGCCUAAGUCAGAUUAGCUAGUUGGUGGGGUAAAGGCCUACCAAGGCGACGAUCUGUAGCGGGUCUGAGAGGAUGAUCCGCCACACUGGGACUGAGACACGGCCCAGACUCCUACGGGAGGCAGCAGUGGGGAAUAUUGGACAAUGGGCGAAAGCCUGAUCCAGCCAUGCCGCGUGUGUGAAGAAGGCCUUUUGGUUGUAAAGCACUUUAAGCGAGGAGGAGGCUACUUGGAUUAAUACUCUAGGAUAGUGGACGUUACUCGCAGAAUAAGCACCGGCUAACUCUGCGCCAGCAGCCGCGGUAAUACAGAGGGUGCGAGCGUUAAUCGGAUUUACUGGGCGUAAAGCGUGCGUAGGCGGCUUUUUAAGUCGGAUGUGAAAUCCCUGAGCUUAACUUAGGAAUUGCAUUCGAUACUGGGAAGCUAGAGUAUGGGAGAGGAUGGUAGAAUUCCAGGUGUAGCGGUGAAAUGCGUAGAGAUCUGGAGGAAUACCGAUGGCGAAGGCAGCCAUCUGGCCUAAUACUGACGCUGAGGUACGAAAGCAUGGGGAGCAAACAGGAUUAGAUACCCUGGUAGUCCAUGCCGUAAACGAUGUCUACUAGCCGUUGGGGCCUUUGAGGCUUUAGUGGCGCAGCUAACGCGAUAAGUAGACCGCCUGGGGAGUACGGUCGCAAGACUAAAACUCAAAUGAAUUGACGGGGGCCCGCACAAGCGGUGGAGCAUGUGGUUUAAUUCGAUGCAACGCGAAGAACCUUACCUGGUCUUGACAUAGUAAGAACUUUCCAGAGAUGGAUUGGUGCCUUCGGGAACUUACAUACAGGUGCUGCAUGGCUGUCGUCAGCUCGUGUCGUGAGAUGUUGGGUUAAGUCCCGCAACGAGCGCAACCCUUUUCCUUAUUUGCCAGCGGGUUAAGCCGGGAACUUUAAGGAUACUGCCAGUGACAAACUGGAGGAAGGCGGGGACGACGUCAAGUCAUCAUGGCCCUUACGACCAGGGCUACACACGUGCUACAAUGGUCGGUACAAAGGGUUGCUACCUAGCGAUAGGAUGCUAAUCUCAAAAAGCCGAUCGUAGUCCGGAUUGGAGUCUGCAGCUCGACUCCAUGAAGUCG